GAUAGUCGCCACAGGUUGGUAGACUUUGCUGGUAGAAUUUUCCAUUGGAUCUCUCUGUUUCAAAGUGGGUUAUGGACUUGUCAAUUUCCCGAAACUAUUGUGUUGUCACUUGUCAGUAGAACAGAUUAACAGAAGGAUGAACAAAACUUACAGACCACAUGAAAAAAUGGAAAACUGCUGAUGCACCACUGCAAUUUCAGGUUCCAGUAUGUCAAACAGUUGCUUGUUCACUUCAGGAAUUGACUAAAACAAGUAAAACAUCUCCUCUCCACUAUUUGACUGAAACAUCAUCUAAACUCAGUUGGGGUUUAGAGGCCAUGGCAAGGUCCCAGAUCAGCCUGGAAUUGUUUGGUGUUUGCUGCCCAUUGUGCAGAAUAUUUGAAACUUUUAAUCUUGAACUGCUCCACUGUGAACUGUGAUUGAAGUAGUAAUAUUUAACUGGUGGCAAGCCGACCGUUUUGGCUUCAUUCAAAAUGGACGAUUUACGGGAGCGUCGCUAGCCAAGCAAUUCCUCGCGCUAUCGAAAGAGAUUGUUUACGUCUGGCGGAAUAU